rnacentral:rRNA from 1 species
GAUGAACGCUGGCGGCGUGCCUAAUACAUGCAAGUCGAGCGAACGGACGAGAAGCUUGCUUCUCUGAUGUUAGCGGCGGACGGGUGAGUAACACGUGGAUAACCUACCUAUAAGACUGGGAUAACUUCGGGAAACCGGAGCUAAUACCGGAUAAUAUUUUGAACCGCAUGGUUCAAAAGUGAAAGACGGUCUUGCUGUCACUUAUAGAUGGAUCCGCGCUGCAUUAGCUAGUUGGUAAGGUAACGGCUUACCAAGGCAACGAUGCAUAGCCGACCUGAGAGGGUGAUCGGCCACACUGGAACUGAGACACGGUCCAGACUCCUACGGGAGGCAGCAGUAGGGAAUCUUCCGCAAUGGGCGAAAGCCUGACGGAGCAACGCCGCGUGAGUGAUGAAGGGCUUCGGAUCGUAAAACUCUGUUAUUAGGGAAGAACAUAUGUGUAAGUAACUGUGCACAUCUUGACGGUACCUAAUCAGAAAGCCACGGCUAACUACGUGC